UCCCCGGUAGCUCAGUCGGUAGAGCAGGUGGCUGUUAAUCACCCUGUCGCUGGUUCGAGUCCGGCCCGGGGAGCCA
rnacentral:tRNA from 1 species